rnacentral:rRNA from 1 species
GAUGAACGCUGACGGUAUGCUUAACACAUGCAAGUCGAACGGACUCUUCGGAGUUAGUGGCGGACGGGUGAGUAACGCGUGAGAAUCUGGCUUUGGGUUCGGGACAACCACUGGAAACGGUGGCUAAUACCGGAUGUGCCGAGAGGUAAAAGAGAAAUUGCCUGAAGAUGAGCUCGCGUCUGAUUAGCUAGUUGGUGAGGUAAAGGCUCACCAAGGCAGCGAUCAGUAGCUGGUCUGAGAGGAUGACCAGCCACACUGGGACUGAGACACGGCCCAGACUCCUACGGGAGGCAGCAGUGGGGAAUUUUCCGCAAUGGGCGAAAGCCUGACGGAGCAAUACCGCGUGAGGGAAGAAGGCUCUUGGGGUGUAAACCUCUUUUCUUAGGGAAGAACAAAAUGACGGUACCUAAGGAAUCAGCAUCGGCUAACUCCGUG